CGUCCCUGUGUUUGAGUCCGUCGACCUCCAGCUCGCCAGCCGCGCCCUCCCUGCUCGCCCAGCCCCUCUGCUCACUGGUUUCUCCCCACGCCAGCAGCAGCAAGCAGCCAUGGCACCUCCUUCCCCUGCUCGCCCUCCCUCUGUGCCCAGCCUCCUCUCUGUUCUUCCGUGGAGCAAUAGCCCUCCUCUAAUUCUGCAGCAGCAGCUCUCCCUUUUUUCAUUUGUUCUCCAUGAAUGAAAGCCCAAGCGCCAGCCCCCCUCCCUUUCGUCAAGUGGUGAGCUCCGAAUCUUUUUAUUCUUUCCCUAGACCUUGCGUGUUAUAUUUUGAUUUCAGUUUGUUGUCCAUGUCAUGACGCUUGUGAAACUCUAUGUGUUUGUGUGUGAGAUUGGAAGAGAGUUCUAGGGAAAUCGAUGGAGACGAAACCGUGUUUCAGUUCGACGCGGUCUAGGUGUUUGAUGGAAUGGAUGAACCGGAGAUCCUUGUUGCUCUUGCGAAAUCCGAGUCUAUUUAGUGUUGGUAAGCUAAUUCAUUAUUAGUAUUGAUUGAAUUGUUAGAUGAAUUGAAUAGAUAUGUUUGGUGAAUAUAUAUGCAUCAUGAGUUAGUAGUGAUACCUCUUCGUGGAUAGUGACAUGAUUGUAUUCAUGGUUAUGGUUAAAAUAAGUGAUGACGGUAUUGCUGUCCAAACCUGCACGUACAGUUUUGAUUGUGCAACUAAUUGAGUGAAGUAAAUCAUGUUUUCUGUGAAAGUGUUAUAUAGAAAAGUUGUAGCUAACCUCUUCAUCUUACUUGUGCUAAAAUUUCAUAACCAUAGGACUAGUAGUUUAGGAGUUAUGAUUUUUUCAAGUCCAGUUUCAGAAUCUGUCCCAAUUCUGGACAGGUUUCGAAAAUUGCAUUUUUUGGCUAAGUUAAAAUGAGAACCAGUCUUUAGUAAUUAUAGAAGAAUUUUAGUACUUUUCUUAAGCUUCCCAACAAAUUUUGGAUCACCCUUUUUGGUGAUCUAAAAGUCAUGUUAUGGCUGUUUGAAAUGUGAUGUCUGAAUCUGUUCAAAUCUGGACAGCAAUGUUUGUUUGUAUUAACUGACCUCGAUACACAUUGAAUCACCUUGAGAUGUUUAUAAAUGAAUUGUAAACAAUUGUAUUAGCUUUUUAAAAAAUCUAGGAUCACCUGAUUUGAAUAUCUGAAACUCCAGUUAUGGAAUUUUAAAGUGAGUGACCGAAUUCUGUCCAAAUCUGGACAGAAAUUGUGUUUAGUACAGUUUGACCUUUCUAAAGAUCGAAUCUUGUUGUGAUGAUAAUACCAAAGGUGUAGAAGACUUUAUAAUCUUUCCAGAAAGUCUUAGUUUACUAUUUUUGGAUGCAUAAUUUGUGAGUUAUGAAUAAAACAAUUAACCGCUGUGCUGCUGUCCCAAAAUCAGCAGGCAUUAAAAUGAUUUGCUUGGAAUUUUUUUUGUAGGUAACUAGAUUUGUUUAGUCCUUGGCUUGAUUAAUGAAGUAUGGUAGUUGUAUAUGGUUGUUCUUUUCUUUCUUAAUGCUUGCCUUAGACUUUAGCAUUUUAAGAAGGAAGUAAAUACUUUGGUUAGUGUAUUUGAGUUAGCGACUAUUUAGACCUUUAAGUUAAGAUGAGUGCAAUUUCAUUGAACCCUAUGUUAAUUGGUAGUGAAUUAUCCGUUAGUUCUAAGUAUGUUCUGAUGUUUUGUUUAGUCGAUAUACAUUAAUAGUUAAUCUAGAGGAAUGUUUUAGAAAGUUAGAUGGAUGGUUUUUAACAUACUAAGUUUUAGAUGUGUUCAAUAAUUGUGAGCUUGAAUUGUUACUUGACUCUCGAUUCUAUGUUCUAGUUAAGGAAAAUACAUAGCUUGUGUAGGGUUCAAUAUUCUUUGAUGUUUGUGUUAGAUUUGGUUAAGCCAGAGAAACGUAAUUGUGAUACGUAGUGAUAUGUCAACAUAUAGUAAUUGUUUUUAAGUAUUGCGGUACAUCAGUGUUAUAUUCUAAAUAUAUUAGGACUUGUAUGUUGCUAAUGUUACUUGGUGAUUGAUUUAGGUCCGAUUGACUAGAACGCCAUGUUUGAUGUAGAAUUAAAUAUAUCUAGUUGUUACACUUAAAAGUUGUGAUGUUUUGCUUUAAUUCUGUAUCCUCCUUAGUAUAACUUAUCUAUCUUGUGCUAUUUAUGCUCCUACUCACUCAUAUGCAUUAUGCAUAUCAUUUAGGUACGUUAAUUGAUCACGUGAUGUGAAAGGCAAGGUUUGGAUUGAUCUCAAGAUAAUGCUGAUGGACGAAGCUAAAGUGGGUGAAUCAAACAAAUGCCAGGAUGAGAGAUGCUCACCAAGUGGUCUUCAUCUAACAACACUAACUUAGUGUUAUCCCAGGCAAGCCCCGGUGCAUUUGCCACCUCCUUGCUGUUUUUAAACUUUUAUCACUUAUGAUGCAUUAGGUGGUAGGAGUUGAAUGAUUAAACCUUCGUUUGCAUAACUUCCUUGAACUAUUGAUUACCAUCCUUGAUACAUGUUUUAAAAAGCUAGAUGUGCUUAGUAUGCUCAUAGACUAAGAACAAAAUGUUUUGAUCUAUGAAUCAUGUUUUUACAAAGAAAAGAGGCUGGAGUGAUGAAGGUAUCAAAGGCCUUGAUGACUUCAUCAUUUCAGUAGGGUACCUCUUACAGGUACCAGGUUUUCAGAAAUAACUUAAUAUGAGACCAGACGUUGAGCAGGAAAGGUCGCCCGUCUGUGUCGCUUAAGGACCGUUCCGAUUGUUGGCCUGCUGAUCUAGGACCCUUUAACUGGCCACAUGCCUCAUCAUGGGUAAGCUUAGCCUCGGUUGGACCAAUACCAGAAAGGCCGGCCCGCAAUGGGAGUGGAGAGAUGGCGAGAGUAUCGUGUAUCCACCUGGCAAGAGGCUGGAUGGUGGGGUACUGAGCUCUCGGUUGGCGGGGACCCGUUCUGGUCUUGAGAAACCCGUGGGCGAGUUGACAUAUGCAAGGGUUAAGUGCUACAUAUGUCGUGUGGUUGAAGAUCCCCAGCUGGGUAUUAAUCGAUUCGGAUCGCUGAACUUCUCGGAUAUGAAGACUGGAUCUUCGACCUUCAGCGUAGAUAACAAGUGAAACUAAAGCUGCUAAAAUGAAGUUAGUGUAGGACAAGUGAAUGAUCUAGAUUAGGAAAAUCUAGAUUCAGGAAAAGUACUUAACUGGUGAAGUAAAAGCUUGGCAUAAGGAUCCACUACUAGUAAGCUUUUCUGCAAAAAUGAGUCUUUGAAAUUUGAUAAGCUUUACCUUGAUUCCUAAUAAACCAGCAUACCCUUGAGAGUCUUUUCUUUAGUCGGGUAAGUCUUGCUGAGUAAUUGCGUACUCAGGGUUUUAUUCCCUGUUGUUUUUCAGGUUAUAAGUUUGUUCUGUUGUGGAUGGUGCUAAGUGCCGGUGGGCUCGGCCUCCUUAUAUAAGUAUAUCCCAUCUUUAGCUUCUUUAUUGAGGGUUGUCACUUAAGCUAGCAUGUAUUUUAAAACUUAUAAAUGUUUUAUACAUUUUAAAGUGUAAUUCUUUUGAAUCACUUUCUUCUGUAAUCACUC
rnacentral:lncRNA from 1 species